GGAGAGAUACUCAAGAGGCCGAAGAGGACGGUUUGCUAAACCGUUAGGGGGUUUAUAACCCCGCGCGGGUUCGAAUCCCGCUCUCUCCGCCA
rnacentral:tRNA from 2 species